rnacentral:rRNA from 1 species
AACGAACGUUGGCGGCGUGGAUUAGGCAUGCAAGUCGAACGAAGACGUUUUGGGUAGCAAUACUUGAGACGGACUGAGUGGCGAAAGGGGCAGUAAUGCGUGGGUAACCUACCCUGGGGAUGGGCAUAGCCGGACUAACGUCCGGGUAAUUCCCAGCGAUGUGACGAGGGGACAUCCUCUUGUCACCAAAUGGAUUCCGCCCUGGGAGGGGCUCACGUCGUAUUAGCUUGUUGGCGGGGUAACGGCCCACCAAGGCAAAGAUGCGUAGCGGGUGUGAGAGCACGACCCGCGCCACUGGCACUGAGACACUGGCCAGACACCUACGGGUGGCUGCAGUCGAGGAUUCUUUGGCAAUGGGCGCAAGCCUGACCAAGCGACGCCGCGUGUGCGAUGAAGG